AAGCGGUGGAUGAUGUGGAUUAAUUCGAUGCAACGCGAAAACCUUACCUACCCUUGACAUGUCCGGAAUCCCGAAGAGAUUUGGGAGUGCUCGCAAGAGAACCGGAACACAGGUGCUGCAUGGCUGUCGUCAGCUCGUGUCGUGAGAUGUUGGGUUAAGUCCCGCAACGAGCGCAACCCUUGUCAUUAGUUGCCAUCAUUUGGUUGGGCACUCUAAUGAGACUGCCGGUGACAAACCGGAGGAAGGUGGGGAUGACGUCAAGUCCUCAUGGCCCUUAUGGGUAGGGCUUCACACGUCAUACAAUGGUCGGUACAGAGGGUUGCCAACCCGCGAGGGGGAGCUAAUCCCACAAAGCCGAUCGUAGUCCGGAUCGCAGUCUGCAACUCGACUGCGUGAAGUCGGAAUCGCUAGUAAUCGUGGAUCAGCAUGUCACGGUGAAUACGUUCCCGGGUCUU
rnacentral:rRNA from 1 species